CCUCAUCGGUCUGCGCUGGGGGCUACGAGGAGACCCCCUUCCUACUAUGGGCAACCAGGUGAUCUGCUACGUGGCCCUUUGUCUCUUUGGAGCAGGCACCAUGGCUGGUGGGGUCAGUCAGACCCCUAAAUACCUGCUCAAAAAGGAAGGCGGAGCUGUGACCCUGGAAUGUGAACAGGAUUUUGAUUAUGACUCAAUGUGCUGGUACCGACAGGACCCAGGUCUAGGACUGAGGCUGAUCUUCUUCUCGCAAUUUGUAAACAAUGUUCAGGAAGAAGACAUAGCUAAAGGCUACAGUGCCUCUCGUGAAAAGAAGCCUUUCUUUCCUCUUACCGUGACAUCAGCACAGAAGAACCAGACGGCUCUGUAUCUCUGUGCUGCUAGUAGAGACACAGUGACUCAAAGCCACCUCCUCUCUGCACACAAAUGAGUCCUGCUUCCCACCAGGUGGCAGGGCUUUUCU